UGCGAGUUAACGUAGCAAUACGUGGCGCACGGCUCAGUAACACGUAGUCAACAUGCCCAGAGGACGUGGAUAACCUCGGGAAACUGAGUCUAAACCGCGAUAAGUGAGGAUUUCUGGAAUGGUUCCUGACUAAAAUCUAUAUGGCCUCUGGAUUGGACUGCGGCCGAUCAGGCUGUUGGUGAGGUGAUGGCCCACCAAACCUGUAACCGGUACGGGCUCUGAGAGGAGGAGCCCGGAGAUGGGCACUGAGACAAGGGCCCAGGCCCUAUGGGGCGCAGCAGGCGCGAAACCUCUGCAAUAGGCGAAAGCCUGACAGGGUUACUCUGAGUGACUUUCGCUAAGAAAGUCUUUUGGCACCUCUAAAAAGGGUGCAGAAUAAGGGGUGGGCAAGUCUGGUGUCAGCCGCCGCGGUAAUACCAGCACCCCGAGUGGUCGGGGCGAUUAUUGGGCCUAAAGCAUCCGUAGCCGGUUCUGCAAGUCCCCCGUUAAAUCCAGCUGCUCAACAGAUGGGCCGCGGAGGAUACUACAGAGCUAGGAGGCAGGAGAGGCAAGCGGUACUCAGUGGGUAGGGGUAAAAUCCGUUGAUCCAUUGAAGACCACCAGUGGCGAAGGCGGCUUGCCAGAAUGCGCUCGACGGUGAGGGAUGAAAGCUGGGGGAGCAAACCGGAUUAGAUACCCGGGUAGUCCCAGCCGUAAACGAUGCAGACUCGGUGAUGGGUUGGCUUCGCGCUAACCCAGUGCCGCAGGGAAGCCGUUAAGUCUGCCGCCUGGGUAGUACGGUCGCAAGACUGAAACUUAAAGGAAUUGGCGGGGGAGCACCACGAGGGGUGAAGCCUGCGGUUCAAUUGGAGUCAACGCCGGGAAUCUUACCGGGGGCGACAGCAGAAUGAAAGGUCAAGCUGAAGACUUUACCAGACAAGCUGAGAGG
rnacentral:rRNA from 1 species